AUUGAACGCUGGCGGAAUGCUUUACACAUGCAAGUCGAACGGCAGCACGGACUUCGGUCUGGUGGCGAGUGGCGAACGGGUGAGUAAUGUAUCGGAACGUGCCCAGUCGUGGGGGAUAACGUAGUGAAAAUUACGCUAAUACCGCAUACGAUCUAUGGAUGAAAGCGGGGGAUCGCAAGACCUCGCGCGAUUGGAGCGGCCGAUAUCAGAUUAGGUAGUUGGUAGGGUAAAGGCCUACCAAGCCAACGAUCUGUAGCUGGUCUGAGAGGACGACCAGCCACACUGGAACUGAGACACGGUCCAGACUCCUACGGGAGGCAGCAGUGGGGAAUUUUGGACAAUGGGCGAAAGCCUGAUCCAGCCAUUCCGCGUGCAGGAUGAAGGCCCUCGGGUUGUAAACUGCUUUUGUACAGAACGAAAAGGUUUCUACUAAUACUAGGAGCUCAUGACGGUACUGUAAGAAUAAGCACCGGCUAACUACGUG
rnacentral:rRNA from 1 species